rnacentral:rRNA from 1 species
GAUGAACGCUGGCGGCGUGCCUAAUACAUGCAAGUCGAGCGAACGGGCGAGAAGCUUGCUUUUCUGAUGUUAGCGGCGGACGGGUGAGUAACACGUGGAUAACCUACCUAUAAGACUGGGAUAACUUCGGGACACCGGCGCUAAUCCCGGAUAAUAUUUUGAUGCGCAUGGUUCAAUAGUGAAAGACGGUCUUGCUGUCACUUAUCGAUGGUUCUGCGCUGCAUGAGCUAGUUGGUAAGGUAACGGCUUACCAAGGCUACGAGGCAUAACCGACCUGUGAGGGUGAUCGGCCACACUAGAGGUGAGACACGGUCCAGACUCCUACGGGAGGCAGCAGAAGGGAAUCGGCCGCAAUGGGCGGAAGCCUGGCGGAGCAGCGCGGCGCGAGUGAUGAAGGUCUCCGGAUCGUAAAACUCUGUUAUGAGGGAAGAACAGAUGUGUAAGUAACUGAGCACAUCUUGACGGUACCUAAUCAGAAAGCCACGGCUAACUACGUG